rnacentral:rRNA from 1 species
UACAGAGGGGGCAAGCGUUAUUCGGAAUUAUUGGGCGUAAAGGGCGCGUAGGCGGCUUUGCAAGUGACGGGUGAAAUCCCUCGGCUUAACCGAGGAACUGCCUGUCAGACUGCAUGGCUUGAGACCGGGAGAGGUGAGUGGAAUUCCCAGUGUAGCGGUGAAAUGCGUAGAUAUUGGGAGGAACACCAGUGGCGAAGGCGGCUCACUGGACCGGAACUGACGCUGAGGCGCGAAAGCGUGGGGAGCAAACAGG